AGUCAGAAAGUCAGAACUGUAUCCAACCUUUAAGUUUAAUCAAAAAGAAAAGCUAAACUAGUUUUAUCAGAAAGUACAUUCAUUCACAACCUACCACCAGUUCCUAGUUUUAGGUUUUGUAUCUACUUUUGCCUCUUCUCACAUGGAAGAAAUCAUCUCUUACUGAUCUAUGGUAUAAUAGCUUGCAAAUUAUUUGUAAAAAUAAUUGUCCAUUUGAACUUGAACUUCUGCACUUACUGGACCACAAUUUAUUGUUGCUGAUAAACGACAAUCACAAGGCGACAAUAUGCACAUCAACCUCUGGUGAACAACAUAUAUCAACCGGCAUGAUGCCUUGAAUUGAUUCAAAAGAAAAUUAAGGCUUCAUCAAUCCUAAAGAAGUUUGGCACAUGGUAUCUUGAAAGUUGAUUCGACCAAGUCCUCAACUGAAAGAAGAGAGCGAGCUACUGUGGAUGAAGAUGGUCCUUGUGUUGCUAGUGUUGCUGGAAGUAGAUGAUGAGGUGCUAGACCGAAAGAUGUGCGGAAGUUGACAAGCGAGCUUAGCUUUUGUGUUGAUAUUUUGUUUGUUUGUUAAUUAAGACUAAGAUUAGUUGGCCUUAAUCUAUUCCAGUUGCUUACUUUUUUUUUUUUGUGCAUUUUCAAAUAGAGGUACUACUUUUAACGUAUUUGAGGCUGCUAAAAGUUUUACUCAGGCUUUUUUACUAUUAAAUUCGUUACUGUGAAUGCCACUAUUUUGUAUUGUACAGUGUAUAACCAAUAUCAAUAAACACGUGAAUGGGAUGAUAAGGAGAGUUGUGGAGUUAUUUGAUGUCAA